CCUAAGACUAAGCCAUGCAUGCCUUCGAAUAAGAAGAAAGCAAUUCUCUCUGAAUCUGCGAACGGCUCCGCAAACCAGUUGUAAACCAUAGCGAGCACGCCCUCGGCCCUCGGGCUGGGGGCGAUAAGGAUAACCCUGGUAAUUCUGAGGCUAAUACUUGACCGUAACACCUGGCCGACCGGCAACGGGAGGCUGGGGGUCGUGUAAGCACCUCACGCAGAAUUCACCGGGAAGGGAUGCACGUUCAGACCACCACAAACAACGGUUGCAGGAGGACCCGCGCAAGCGGCGAUACCUGCUUCCGGGUGGCUCUCGCUCGGUGCUUCUGACCUAUCAACUAGAUGGCAGUGUAAGGGACAUGCUAUGGUUACAACGGGUACAGAGGAUAAGGGUUCGAUCCUGGAGAGUGGGCCUGAGAGAUUGCUCACACUUCUAAGGAAGGCAGCAGGCGCGCAACGUUCCCAUUGGGCAAUGCCCGAGGGCGUUAGGGGACAUAUGAAUGCCUGUCUUAUGAUGGGCAAUUCAAAUGGGUUUGUUGUAAACAGCCCUUCGAGUAACAAUUAGAGGACAAGUCUGGUGCCAGCACCCGCGGUAAUUCCAGCUCUAAUAGCAUACGUUAAAGUUGUUGCGGUUAAAACGCUCGUAGUCGGCGCCAGAUCUUCAGAACCUUCGGCUGGGAAUCGGACCUGUUGCUCUCCGGAGCGCACCCGAGGUACUGGCUGGGGGGGACGUCGAUCAACUGCGUCUCGUGCUGUCUCCUCCGGGAGUCACAGGGCGUCUGGGGGGGGGCUCGCUCUCUCCCAGGCGUUCGGCGCGGGAUGCCAUUCACUAUGACUAAACUGGGGUGAUCAAAGCAUGUCUUUGGACACGUACAGCGCAGCAUAGCAUGAAUCUCCGCCCUUCCGACCCUAUCUGCGGGGGUCGGGGGGGCAGAAGCGAAAGGGGUGUUCGAGGGUGACCGAAUUGCCGGGCGAGUGGUGAAAUACGUUGACCCUGGCAAGUCGACCAAUGGCGAAAGCAGUCAUCAAGGGCACGCCCGUUGAUCAAGAGCGAAAGUUAAGGGUUCGAAGACGAUCAGAUACCGUCGUAGUCUUAACUAUAAAUGAUGCUAACCAGGGAUAGGACACUGUCCAUCUCGACUCCUCCUGCACCUUAGAGAAAUUACAGUCUU
rnacentral:rRNA from 1 species